UACGAAGGGGGCUAGCGUUGCUCGGAAUCACUGGGCGUAAAGCGCACGUAGGCGGCUUUGCAAGUCCCAUGUGAAAUCCCACGGCUUAACCGUGGAAGUGCAUGGGAAACUGCAGAGCUUGAGUACUUAAGAGGAUCGCGGAAUUCCCGGUGUAGAGGUGAAAUUCGUAGAUAUCGGGAGGAACACCAGUGGCGAAGGCGGCGAUCUGGGAAGAUACUGACGCUGAGGUGCGAAAGCGUGGGGAGCAAACAGG
rnacentral:rRNA from 1 species